AUUGAACGCUGGCGGCAUGCUUUACACAUGCAAGUCGAACGGUAACAGGCCGCAAGGUGCUGACGAGUGGCGAACGGGUGAGUAAUGCAUCGGAACGUGCCCAGUCGUGGGGGAUAACUACUCGAAAGAGUAGCUAAUACCGCAUACGAUCUAUGGAUGAAAGCGGGGGACCGUAAGGCCUCGCGCGAUUGGAGCGGCCGAUGUCAGAUUAGGUAGUUGGUGGGGUAAAGGCUCACCAAGCCAACGAUCUGUAGCUGGUCUGAGAGGACGACCAGCCACACUGGGACUGAGACACGGCCCAGACUCCUACGGGAGGCAGCAGUGGGGAAUUUUGGACAAUGGGCGCAAGCCUGAUCCAGCAAUGCCGCGUGCAGGAAGAAGGCCUUCGGGUUGUAAACUGCUUUUGUACGGAACGAAACGGCUCUGGUUAAUACCCGGGGCUAAUGACGGUACCGUAAGAAUAAGCACCGGCUAACUACGUA
rnacentral:rRNA from 1 species